GAUCUUCCGCAAGGGAGAUAGCGGCAAACGGGUGCGUAACACGUAGGCAACCUGCCCUGAAGUGUGGGAUAACCCUUCGAAAGAGGGGCUAAUACCGCAUGUGCUCGCGAGAUCACCUAAUCUUGCGAGGAAAGGUGGCUGAACCGAAAGGUGCUAUCACUUCAGGAGGGGCCUGCGUCCCAUCAACUAGUUGGUAGGGUAACGGCCUACCAAGGCGUAUGACGGGUAGCUAGCCUGAGAGGGCGGUUAGCCACACUGGGACUGAGACACUGCCCAGACUCCUACGGGAGGCUGCAGUCGAGAAUAUUUGGCAAUGGGCGAAAGCCUGACCAUGCGACGCCGCGUGCGGGAUGACGGCCUUCGGGUUGUAAACCGCUGUUACGAGGAACGAACGCCUGUGCUGUAAAUAAUGGCGCAGGUCUGACGGUACCUCGAGAGAAAGCCACGGCUAGCUCCGUGCCAGCAGCCGCGGUAAUACGGAGGUGGCGAGCGUUGCUCGGAUUUACUGGGUGUAAAGAGCACGUAGGCGGUCUUGUAAGCCCUUCCUGAAAGGCUCCGGCUCAACCGGAGCAGUGGGCAGGGGACUGCAGGACUGGAGGAUGGAAGAGGCAAGCGGAAUUCCCGGUGUAAGGGUGAAAUCUGUAGAUAUCGGGAGGAACACCAGUGGCGAAGGCGGCUUGCUAGUCCAUUUCUGACGCUGAGGUGCGAAAUCUAGGGGAGCGAACAGGAUUAGAUACCCUGGUAGUCCUAG
rnacentral:rRNA from 1 species